AAGAACGCAGCCGUAAUAUUAAUAUUUAUUCAAAAUUGCUCUCUCUCUCUCUCUUUCAGAAAAGUCUCAAAUAUUAACUGAUUUAGAUACGUUGUAAAAUAUCAAAUUAUAUGCACGCAUAAUAAAUUAUUACAUUCUAAAAUGAGACGUUAUUGCAUAUUAUGCGGAAGAGACUCGGCAAAAGACAAUGGAAAAAUAUAAGUAUUAUGAAUUUAAGCGUUUAUCAUUUUGAGUUUAUCUAUACAACUAUUGCUAAAUGUUUAAUGAUCUCUAAAUUUAAUAAUUUAACCACAGGUUUUUAAUAAAACUAUAUUUAAUCGACUUGUUUUUAUGUGUAAAUGAAUGACAGAUUUCAUAACCUUUAACGCGUAACAAAAUUCAUUAAAAAACUUUUAUUGACGGAUAACUUUUGGAAUUUUCUACACACGAGAACAAACUGAUGAAGUAUAGUGUUAUUUAAAUUUUAGAUGAGAUCCUCAAAGUAAAUCUUCAUUUUAUAUACUUAUAUCUAUAUAUUCGGGUGUGUGUGUGUUUGUGUGUGUAAGGGAGAAACUAAUAUUGUAAAUAUAUUUAAAUACAUAUUUUACUUAUACAUAUUUACAGAUUUCCUAAAGAUAUAGUACGAAGGAAAAUAUGGUUAAAAUUGUGUAAAGUAGAUGAAAGACAUAACUUCCUGUACUAUCCUUUGCAACAAACAUUUUAAAGAAAAUUUUUCUGAUUAGAGCAGGAGACAAUUAUAAAAUUUAAAAACUAGAUCAUUACCAUCUAUUGAUGUAUCAGAUAAAAUUGAAAAAAAGUUACCUUGCUCCAUGAAAAAGUGAACUGAAAUGUUUAUGAAAUGUUGGAACCAAACACAAGGAAGACGCGGUCCAAACCAAGAAAAUAAGCAAAGUUAGGUCAGGAAAUGAAUGCUACAAAUUCAAGUAAUUUAUGUCAUGAAAGUGAUGAAAAUCCAAUAUUAAAUAAGAAGCAAACCAAUAUUAUAUUGUUAAUUCUCUCUCUAGAUAUAUGUGCAACAUCAGAAUCUAUUGUGAUAAAGGAUAUAGAAAAAACAAUUUGAUAUCCUGGUGAUAUCAAUACAUCCUUCCUGGAAAUAACUCAGAAAACUGAAAUAGCUUUAAAUACAGCUAAAAAGGCCAUUUUAAAUCAGAGAAAAAAAAAACAUUACAACAUGCAUUUAAUAAAUACAGAAAGUCCAAAUGUCAUACAAUACAGGAUCUAAUAAAGUUAAGAAAAACAGUUAAACGGAACAAUUCUCUAUGAAUCCUUGAGUUUUGAAAAUUUAUGUUAAAGUAUUGAUGGAAUACUGUUGUCAGUAGUAUGGUACAGUGAUACACAUGUGAAUUGCUGUUGCCAAAAAAAUAAAUCUAAGGAAUUUACCUUGUGCCACAUUCA